AGUGAACGCUGGCGGUAGGCCUAACACAUGCAAGUCGAACGGCAGCACAGGAGAGCCCGCUCUCUGGGUGGCGAGUGGCGGACGGGUGAGGAAUACAUCGGAAUCUACUCUGUCGUGGGGGAUAACGUAGGGAAACUUACGCUAAUACCGCAUACGACCUACGGGUGAAAGCAGGGGACCUUCGGGCCUUGCGCGAUUGAAUGAGCCGAUGUCGGAUUAGCUAGUUGGCGGGGUAAAGGCCCACCAAGGCGACGAUCCGUAGCUGGUCUGAGGGGAUGAUCAGCCACACUGGAACUGGGACACGGUCCAGACUCCUACGGGAGGCAGCAGUGGGGAAUAUUGGACAAUGGGCGCAAGCCUGAUCCAGCCAUACCGCGUGGGUGAAGAAGGCCUUCGGGUUGUAAAGCCCUUUUGUUGGGAAAGAAAUCCAGCUGGCUAAUACCCGGUUGGGAUGACGGUACCCAAAGAAUAAGCACCGGCUAACUUCGUGCCAGCAGCCGCAGUAA
rnacentral:rRNA from 1 species